ACCAGAAGUAACUUUCAUGGCGCCAGAGGACCAUUUUCGCUACACAGUUGAUGAGCUCCUCAAAAUGGCCACAGAUACACUCUUCUGUCUCCAAGCCUAAAGUGACCACAGUUUGUGCAGAUCUGUGGAUAUCGCUGUGCUGGACUGUGGAUAUCACCUGAGAAAUACUUACAUCUAUGGUGAAGCCACAGUGGUCACAGAAAUGUUGUGCUUCCCCUGUGUUAC
rnacentral:lncRNA from 1 species